GGAGGUGUAGCUCAGUAGCAGAGUGCUUGCCUGGUGUGCACAAGGCCCUGGGUUCAAUCCCUAGCACCACAA
rfam:Ictidomys tridecemlineatus contig050506, whole genome shotgun sequence.